rnacentral:rRNA from 1 species
UCGACUGCGUGAAGUCGGAAUCGCUAGUAAUCGCGAAUCAGAAUGUCGCGGUGAAUACGUUCCCGGGCCUUGUACACACCGCCCGUCACACCAUGGGAGUGGGUUGCACCAGAAGUAGCUAGUCUAACCUUCGGGAGGACGGUUACCACGGUGUGAUUCAUGACUGGGGUGAAGUCGUAACAAGGUAGCCGUAGGGGAACCUGCGGCUGGAUCACCUCCUUAA